AGUUGAAGAGAGGAGAGAAAGGAGGGAAGUGGUCUGCGAGCUUGUCUGCAAAGGUUGCUUUCUCUUUGAUGUCUUCGAAGAAAUCGAGGCUGGGUCCUCGGCUUGAUCCUCUCGGAUAUAUGGCUCCAAGCUCAAGAACUGUUAAACUCUUUAAACUCCAAAGAGAUUAAUAUUACUUCAUUACAAGUGCUGGUGAAUAUUCAGAAUUUUUUGGGCUUGAAUUGGCACUUUGAAAUUUUUAAGGAAAAAUUCUGCCCUCCGGUACGUCUUAGAUUUGGUGGAGCCAAAACAACAGAUUAACUUCAUAUAAAAGACCAACGACGAGCCGUCUACCAUCCUCAAUGCAUAUUGGAUACUCACGAAUUGGUUCAUGUGACAAGAUAAUUUACCUCGUGAUCGAUCUCUUCCAUGAAAUCGUCUUCAUUGAUAUGACGGACCAUACACGAUUGCGCCUCAUCCCAGGACGAGAUGAUUUGGUCAAAAAGAAUAUUUGCCUAGGGACAGACAAGAAGAGCGUCUUUUUUGGACAAAAGGGAGAAAGAAAUGACUGGGAGCUUCUGGCGUCCAUCCAACGAGAUAAGCGAUCUCAUCAAAAAUCGAUUAACAUCACCCCUCACACCAUCUGCCCUGGACGCUUCGAAUGCAUUCGAAUUGAAUGUGAAUAUUCAAAAAACCACCCUCGAGAAGGGACAAGGCUUGAACAAGCGCCCCCGGUUUCUUGUUUUGGGAAGAACAAUCACGGUGGGCAUCAUUAGUCACAGGAGGUGAAUCACGAGACGUUGAAGAUCUUCCUUCGUGACACAUAGAAGGCGCAGCCAAAAUUACGUUGGGAAAACAAUUUCCAUCUUCCGCCCACCCCUCAUCACCCCGCCCCCUCGGGGAAUUGAACCGCGAUCAACGGACGCGGACACACCAUCCGUCAUGCAGUCCCGAACAAAAAUUGUCAUGAACGCACAAUGGAUAUCUCCCAAUGGGGAUUAGGAAUAGGGAUCAGUCGAACCGAGUUUGAAACAGCAAGGAGGGAGGAAUAGGAGUGGGAGCUACUUAUUGACACGGUGUGCCAAGUAUUCAAAUAAGGAGAACCAAUAUUGAGUUACACAAUUGUACACAAUUGAGUGCAGUAUCAGUGUCUAUUCGCAAUAUUUCAGUACCAUUUUAGACAUCGCAUUAUCGUAGGCUAUGUUAUGGCCGAGAGUAACAAUAAAUGAACUUUUAUUGCUU